CUGCAGCCCGAGUGGUGAUCGGUUUUAUUGAGCCUAAAGCGUCCGUAGCCGGACUAGUAAACCCUUGGGUAAAUUGGGCAGCUUAACUGUCCAAAUUCCGAGGGGACUGCUAGUCUUGGGACCGGGAGAGGUCAGAGGUACUCAAGGGGUAGGGGCUAAAUCCUGUAAUCCUUUGGGGACCACCAGUGGCGAAGGCGUCUGACUAGAACGGAUCCGACGGUAAGGGACGAAACCCUGGGGCGCGAACCGGAUUAGAUACCCGAGUAGUCC
rnacentral:rRNA from 1 species